UGUUUAACAAAAACAUCGCCUUUAGCCUCACAAGUAUUAAAGGUCCCGCCUGCCCAGUGAAUAAUUUUUAACGGCCGCGGUAUCCUAACCGUGCAAAGGUAGCGUAAUCANUUGUCCCCUAAAUAGGGACCUGUAUGAAUGGCUAACUGAGGGCACACCUGUCUCCUGGCGCCAACUAAUGAAACUGAUCUACUGGUACAAAAGCCAGAAUUACCCCACAAGACGAGAAGACCCUGUGGAGCUUACAACACCCCCACUACUAGUCACACCAUCCAACCACACGCACAACUAACUAGUGGCCGGUUUAAGUUGGGGCGACUACGGAGCACAGCAAACCCUCCAAGAAAUAAAAGGCUAACCCCCACUAUUAGGCACACACGCCAACAAGGUACCACCCUUCGACCCAG
rnacentral:rRNA from 1 species